rnacentral:rRNA from 1 species
AUUAAACGCUGGCGGCAUGCCUUACACAUGCAAGUCGAACGGCAGCACGGGGGGAACCCUGGUGGCGAGUGGCGAACGGGUGAGUAAAGCAUCGGAACGUGCCCUGGAGUGGGGGAUAACGUAGCGAAAGUUACGCUAAUACCGCAUAUUCUGUGAGCAGGAAAGCAGGGGAUCGCAAGACCUUGCGCUCUGGGAGCGGCCGAUGUCGGAUUAGCUAGUUGGUGGGGUAAAAGGCCUACCAAGGCGACGAUCCGUAGCGGGUCUGAGAGGAUGAUCCGCCACACUGGGACUGAGACACGGCCCAGACUCCUACGGGAGGCAGCAGUGGGGAAUUUUGGACAAUGGGCGAAAGCCUGAUCCAGCCAUGCCGCGUGAGUGAAGAAGGGCCUUCGGGUUGGUUAAAGACGU